UACAGAGGUCCCAAGCGUUGUUCGGAUUCACUGGGCGUAAAGGGUGCGUAGGCGGUCGGGGUAAGUCUGAUGUGAAAUCUCACAGCUUAACUGUGAAACUGCAUUGGAUACUAUCCGGCUAGAGGAAUGGAGGGGAGACUGGAAUACUUGGUGUAGCAGUGAAAUGCGUAGAUAUCAAGUGGAACACCAGUGGCGAAGGCGAGUCUCUGGACAUUUCCUGACGCUGAGGCACGAAAGCCAGGGGAGCAAACGGG
rnacentral:rRNA from 1 species